UUUGUCAUCUUUGAAUGCCGAGUCCAGGCCACAGCUGCAGUUCAAGUUCACUGGUACAGAGAGACAGAACAGAUCGCAGACUCAGAUGACUUCCGGAUUCUGAGGAAAAAAGCUUGCUUAUCAUCCAUUCCCGAGGAAGUCUGCACCUUGAUUAUCACGGAAGCAUUUCCUGAGGACUCUGGGGAAUUCAAGUGCAUUGCAGAAAACGAGGCUGGGACUGCAAUCUCAGCAGCAAGACUCUUUGUCUCCCCAGAAGGAAAAGAAGUGGAAAAAUCAGAAAAUCCUCCAAAGUUACCCAUGAGGAAGUGUUCU